CCGGCCAACUACGUGCCAGCAGCCGCGGUAAUACGUAGGGUGCAAGCGUUGUCCGGAAUUAUUGGGCGUAAAGAGCUCGUAGGCGGUCUGUCGCGUCGGCUGUGAAAACCCGGGGCUCAACCCCGAGCUUGCAGUCGAUACGGGCAGGCUAGAGUUCGGCAGGGGAGACUGGAAUUCCUGGUGUAGCGGUGAAAUGCGCAGAUAUCAGGAGGAACACCGGUGGCGAAGGCGGGUCUCUGGGCCGAUACUGACGCUGAGGAGCGAAAGCGUGGGGAGCGAACAGGAUUAGAUACCCUGGUAGUCCACGCCGUAAACGUUGGGCGCUAGGUGUGGGGUCCCUUCCACGGGUUCCGUGCCGCAGCUAACGCAUUAAGCGCCCCGCCUGGGGAGUACGGCCGCAAGGCUAAAACUCAAAUGAAUUGACGGGG
rnacentral:rRNA from 1 species